rnacentral:rRNA from 1 species
UACAGAGGGGGCGAGCGUUAAUCGGAAUUACUGGGCGUAAAGCGCGCGUAGGCGGCUUUGCAAGUCGGGUGUGAAAUCCCCGGGCUUAACCUGGGAACUGCAUUCGAGACUGCAUUGCUAGAGUAUGGGAGAGGGAAGUGGAAUUUCCGGUGUAGCGGUGAAAUGCGUAGAUAUCGGAAGGAACAUCAGUGGCGAAAGCGACUUCCUGGACCAAUACUGACGCUCAUGUGCGAAAGCGUGGGGAGCAAACAGG